rnacentral:rRNA from 1 species
AUUGAACGCUGGCGGCAUGCCUUACACAUGCAAGUCGAACGGUAACGGGCCUUCGGGUGCCGACGAGUGGCGAACGGGUGAGUAAUACAUCGGAACGUGCCCGAUCGUGGGGGAUAACGAGGCGGAAGCUUUGCUAAUACCGCAUACGAUCUACGGAUGAAAGCAGGGGACCGCAAGGCCUUGCGCGGACGGAGCGGCCGAUGGCAGACUAGGUAGUUGGUGGGAUAAAAGCUUACCAAGCCGACGAGCUGUAGCUGGUCUGAGAGGAUGAUCAGCCACACUGGGACUGAGACACGGCCCAGACUCCUACGGGAGGCAGCAGUGGGGAAUUUUGGACAAUGGGCGCAAGCCUGACCCAGCCAUGCCGCGUGCAGGAUGAAGGCCUUCGGGUUGUAAACUGCUUUUGUACGGAACGAAAAGCCUUCUUUUAAUACAGGAGGGUCAUGACGGUACCGUAAGAAUAAGCACCGGCUAACUACGUG